UUACAUGCCUAAAACCCAUCUAAUGUUAUAAGAAAAUAUUAAAUAAAAUCAAAUAAAAUAAAACAAAUCUAAACUUCUAGGAUACAAUAUAAAUUUUGGAUUAUCUUAUAUUCUUUUAUUUUUAUUCACCCUUAAAGUUAAUGUUAAAAUUAGGCCUACUCAUAUUGUACUUUUUUAUUAAUCCAACAAAACAAUGACGAAUUGCUAAAUAAAUCUCAUUCUUUAUUUAAUAAAUAAAACAACAAUAAUUUCGUGAACCCAAUAAUUCCUACUUUAUCAUUAUUAGCAUCGAAAUCAAGAAAAGAACAACAUCAUGACCCAUUCAUUUUAAGACAUCACAACUAAUGAACAAAAAUAGAUAAAUAAAAAUAACCACCAAUAAAGUUACUUUCAUUCAUUAAAGAGAUAUAACACUUAACACAUUCUUCAUUUUAAUCAAAUUAUGAAUAAAAUAAAAGUAUAAGAAAACUUAUCAUAAUAAUUACAUCAAAUUCCAUAAAUAAAUUAAAGAGAUAAGGUAAAGUUGAACCUUAAAUGAAGAAAUAAGAAUCGCAAAAUCUGGACCAAACCUCGAUUAGAACGCUCACAAAGCUUUGGUGUGGAUGUGUGUUGUGUUUAUAUAAAAGUAAUAAAAAAACAAAGAGAUGAAAAAUGUUUGUGGGUAUACCGAUUGGUUUUUUUUUCUUCUUUCUGACGUGUGUGUUUGUUUUUUUUUGUUUUUUUUUUUUUGGUUGUGCCUCUGUACGUUUUCUGUCUCCCUUUCUUUUGUUUGUGGGAAGUCUGCUAAUAUAUAUAGGGUGUGUGGUACGUAUAGGGAGUAUGUAGUCCGUGUGUAUGGAUGAAGUGGUGUAGUAUAUAUGUUUUUAGUUGAGGGAGUUGAGUGGAGUAUAUAUUAUGGGAUCAUGGGGAUAAUGUAGGUAAGGGUGGGGUAAUUGGUAGAGAAAGUGGGGUGAGGGUAGUGGUAGGUUAUUUCUUUUAUUUUAAUUAAAUAUAAUAAAUAUUAUAAUAAUAAAAAUAUUAGCUAAUAAAAAUACAAGAAUAAAUGAAUAGCUAUUCUAAAUUAUAAUUAAGAAAUACUAACUUAUUGUUAAAUCUAAUUUAAAAGAAAAUACAUAUUUUUGUGUAACUUUCCAUUUCUUUUCAUUUUUAAACAAUUGAAAAAUAAAACUUACCUUAAAAAGUGAUUCUAUUCUUGCUAUUUUCAAAUCUUUUAAAAUAAACUUAAUAAAAUAAGAUAAAAGUCAAAAUAUUUAGUUUAGAUUAUAAAAAUAUUUAAGCUCUAAAAAUGGAGUUAAACUUAAGUUCGGUCAAAAAUUACGUGUCUACA
rnacentral:lncRNA from 1 species